AGUGGAUGAUACCCCAGACUCUGAUUCCUCAAAUUCUGAAAUUGUGAUCACAUCCAGGAGCAUAGCUCAAUUCAAUCGGGCUGACACUGUGGUGUUUGAACCACAAAACCAAAGUACACCCAAAUGCAAACCUGAAGAUGAAGGAGAUGCUCCUGGGAAUUCAAGCACAGUUCAACCUGGACAGGUAUUAAGUCAGACUGUGCCAGCCUGUUUCCAGUCAUGUUUGUU